CCUGGCGAAGGGCUGUUGGAGAGAGUCUGUGAGGGCUUGAACUGGUGAGGGCAUUUGUUUGUCCCUACAUUUGUGUCGUCUCACAUCAAACCAGUCUCAUCGACUAAUAACCGAGUGUCUCUUGUCUUCACAAUUGACGAAGAAAAAUGAUUCAAUCCUCAGAAAGUCGCAGUUUGCGUUCGGACACUGUGACUACAUUCAUGAAUUCCCUGGACAGCGAGGGAGACCAUUUAUUUUAGAAAAUCCCUUUGUCUGGUUGGCAGCUCUCGUUGAGGACAUAUUUCACAGGGACUGCAUGUGGACACUAAUCAAU
ensembl:lncRNA